AGCUGUAAUAGUGUAAGAAACACAACAAGUUGUAAACUUGUAGAUGCUUUGGCUUCAGCUU
rnacentral:tRNA from 1 species